GAUGAACGCUGGCGGCGUGCCUAAUACAUGCAAGUCGAGCGAACAGACGAGGAGCUUGCUCCUCUGACGUUAGCGGCGGACGGGUGAGUAACACGUGGAUAACCUACCUAUAAGACUGGGAAAAUUUCGGGACACCGGCGCUAAUACCGGAGAAUAUAUUGAACCGCAUGGUUGAAUAGUGAAAGACGGUUUUGCUGUCUCUUAUAGCUGCAUCUGCGCCGCUUUAGCUGGUUGGUAAGGUAACGGCUUACGAAGGGUACUAUGCGUAGCCGACUUGAGUGGGGGGUCGGCCACCCUGGAACGUGAACACGGUCCAGACUCCUGCGGUAGGCAGCAGUAGGGAAUCUUCCGCAAUGGUCGAAAGCUUGGCGGAGCAGCGCCGCGUGAGUGGUGAAGGUCUUCGGAUCGUAAAACCCUCUUAUUAGGUAUGAACAAAUUUGUAAUGUACUAUGCACGUCUUGACGGUACCUAGUCAGAAAGCCACGGCUAACUACGUG
rnacentral:rRNA from 1 species